rnacentral:snoRNA from 1 species
CCAGAGGUGACAAUUGGGUUCCAUCUCUCUAUAAAAUGCAUGAGGGCCAUGAUCUCCCACCCUGUAUGUUACCACUUAC